AGAAAGCAACAGCGAGCUUUAACACAUUGAGGAGUUUCAACUCUCAGAUUGCAGCAGAUUCAAUAAUAGUGGCUCGCUGUGGCUCCAUUAGAUGAAAGGGUUGCUGUUUCCUUCAGGAAAAUUAUGAUUUAGAUGUUACAAAGACAAGUCAGGUUAAGCCAUACAUGAUCUGUGUAAGCGACUGCUCAUAUACUCUGAAAACAUUUUUU
rnacentral:lncRNA from 1 species